GCCAUUUGAUUUCAGCGGUCCUUUGUUGUUGUUUUUGUUGACUCUCAUUUCUUGUUCUAGUUUGCUUUUGAUCUGAGAUUUCAGGUUGAAAAAGGAAAAAUAGAAAAAAAAAAUGGUUCUAAAUAUCUUUGUUUCCAUCGUCACACAGCUAAUUAAAGAACCCAUCAAUGAAUAUAUUGUUGGUCCAAUCAAACGACAUAUGAGUCAUCCUUUCACCUACAAGAGCAAGU
rnacentral:misc_RNA from 1 species